rnacentral:rRNA from 1 species
CGUCUCAGUUCGGNUUGUAGUCUGCAACUCGACUACAUGAAGCUGGAAUCGCUAGUAAUCGCGAAUCAGAAUGUCGCGGUGAAUACGUUCCCGGGUCUUGUACACACCGCCCGUCACACCAUGGGAGUCAGUAACGCCCGAAGUCAGUGACCCAACCAGAGAUGGAGGGGAGCUGCCGAAGGCGGGACCGAUAACUGGGGGUGAAGUCGUAACAAGGUACC